GAUGAACGCUGGCGGCGUGCCUAAUACAUGCAAGUCGAGCGAACAGACGAGGAGCUUGCUCCUCUGACGUUAGCGGCGGACGGGUGAGUAACACGUGGAUAACCUACCUAUAAGACUGGGAUAACUUCGGGAAACCGGAGCUAAUACCGGAUAAUAUAUUGAACCGCAUGGUUCAAUAGUGAAAGACGGUUUUGCUGUCACUUAUAGAUGGAUCCGCGCCGCAUUAGCUAGUUGGUAAGGUAACGGCUUACCAAGGCAACGAUGCGUAGCCGACCUGAGAGGCUGAUCGGCCACCCUGGAACUGAGCCACCGUCCAGACUCCUACGGGACGCACCAGUCGGGAAUCUUCCGCAAUGGGCGAAAGCCUGACGGAGCAACCCCGCGUGAGUGAUGAAGGUCUUCGGAUCGUAAAACUCUGUUAUUAGGGAAGAACAAAUGUGUAAGUAACUAUGCACGUCUUGACGGUACCUAAUCAGAAAGCCCCGGCUAACUACGUG
rnacentral:rRNA from 1 species